UGAGGAAUAUUAGACAAUGGGCGCAAGCCUGAUCCAGCCAUGCCGCGUGCAGGAAGAAGCAUCUAUGGUGUGUAAACUGCUUUUGUACGGGAAGAAACACUCCUUCGUGAAGGAGCUUGACGGUACCGUAAGAAUAAGGAUCGGCUAACUCCGUGCCAGCAGCCGCGGUAAUACGGAGGAUCCAAGCGUUAUCCGGAAUCAUUGGGUUUAAAGGGUCCGUAGGCGGUUUAGUAAGUCAGUGGUAAAAGCCCAUCGCUCAACGAUGGAACGGCCAUUGAUACUGCUAGACUUGAAUUACAAGGAAGUAACUAGAAUAUGUAGUGUAGCGGUGAAAUGCUUAGAUAUUACAUGGAAUACCAAUUGCGAAGGCAGGUUACUACUUGUGGAUUGACGCUGAUGGACGAAAGCGUGGGGAGCGAACA
rnacentral:rRNA from 1 species